AUUGAACGCUGGCGGCAGGCCUAACACAUGCAAGUCGAGCGGAUGAAGGGAGCUUGCUCCUGGAUUCAGCGGCGGACGGGUGAGUAAUGCCUAGGAAUCUGCCUGGUAGUGGGGGAUAACGUCCGGAAACGGGCGCUAAUACCGCAUACGUCCUGAGGGAGAAAGUGGGGGAUCUUCGGACCUCACGCUAUCAGAUGAGCCUAGGUCGGAUUAGCUAGUUGGUGGGGUAAAGGCCUACCAAGGCGACGAUCCGUAACUGGUCUGAGAGGAUGAUCAGUCACACUGGAACUGAGACACGGUCCAGGCUCCUACGGGAGGCAGCAGUGGGGAAUAUUGGACAAUGGGCGAAAGCCUGAUCCAGCCAUGCCGCGUGUGUGAAGAAGGUCUUCGGAUUGUAAAGCACUUUAAGUUGGGAGGAAGGGCAGUAAGUUAAUACCUUGCUGUUUUGACGUUACUAACAGAAUAAGCACCGGCUAACUUCGUG
rnacentral:rRNA from 1 species